rfam:Vavraia culicis subsp. floridensis unplaced genomic scaffold supercont1.67, whole genome shotgun sequence.
UCCCUAAUGGUCCAGAGGUUAGGAUACCGGUCUUUCACACCGGCGGCCCGAGUUCGAUUCUCGGUUAGGGAA